GUAGCAGAAAUUGACAAGAGGCCCAACCAAAGCCUCAGACAAGGUUUUACUGGGGCUUAUGCUCCAGCACAAGGGAGACAGCACAGGAGAAGU